AGUGAACGCUGGCGGUAGGCCUAACACAUGCAAGUCGAACGGCAGCACAGUAAGAGCUUGCUCUUACGGGUGGCGAGUGGCGGACGGGUGAGGAAUACAUCGGAAUCUACUUUUUCGUGGGGGAUAACGUAGGGAAACUUACGCUAAUACCGCAUACGACCUACGGGUGAAAGCAGGGGAUCUUCGGACCUUGCGCGAUUGAAUGAGCCGAUGUCGAAUUAGCUAGUUGGCGGGGUAAAGGCCCACCAAGGCGACGAUCCGUAGCUGGUCUGAGAGGAUGAUCAGCCACACUGGAACUGAGACACGGUCCAGACUCCUACGGGAGGCAGCAGUGGGGAAUAUUGGACAAUGGGCGCAAGCCUGAUCCAGCCAUACCGCGUGGGUGAAGAAGGCCUUCGGGUUGUAAGGCCCUUUUGUUGGGAAAGAAAAGCAGCAGGUUAAUACCCCGCUGUUCUGACGGUACCCAAAGAAUAAGCACCGGCUAACUUCGUG
rnacentral:rRNA from 1 species